rnacentral:rRNA from 1 species
GAUGAACGCUGGCGGCGUGCCUAAUGCAUGCAAGUCGAGCGAACAGACGAGGAGCUUGCUCCUCUGAUGUUAGCGGCGGACGGGUGAGUAACACGUGGAUAACCUACCUAUAAGACUGGGAUAACUUCGGGAAACCGGAGCUAAUACCGGAUAACAUGUUGAACCGCAUGGUUCAACAGUGAAAGACGGUCUUGCUGUCACUUAUAGAUGGAUCCGCGCCGCAUUAGCUAGUUGGUAAGGUAACGGCUUACCAAGGCAACGAUGCGUAGCCGACCUGAGAGGGUGAUCGGCCACACUGGAACUGAGACACGGUCCAGACUCCUACGGGAGGAAGCAGUAGGGAAUCUUCCGCAAUGGGCGAAAGCCUGACGGAGCAACGCCGCGUGAGUGAAGAAGGUCUUCGGAUCGUAAAACUCUGUUAUUAGGGAAGAACAAAUGUGUAAGUAACUAUGCACGUCUUGACGGUACCUAAUCAGAAAGCCACGGCUAACUACGUG